UAGUAGCUGUUCCAAUCUGGAGGUAGGUGCAGAGAAAGCCUGACCCCCAGACACAAGUGCUUUUUUUUUUAAAUUCAGCACUAAGGGGCACACUUUAAUGCUGUAGCCCUUGCAUUUGGGGUCAUCGUUAAUUACCCUUUUUGUCUGAAACCCACUGUUAACAUUACUUCAGUGUUCUGAACCCCUAGCAACAAGCCAAGGCAAACAACUCUAUGGUCUUUUUAAAACAAAGAUGCAACUGAAACUUUUAAAAAUUUGAAGACAGUGGCUUUUGGUUGCCGGUUGGUAUUGGGUGCUUCAGAACAGGUUAGGGUUGGUCUCGAGCACCAAGGAACUUAUAAAGUUUUGUUUUUUUAAACUGUAAACAUGGGGCAAAGAUGAGGUGUUUCCUAGAGAGUAGAAUGCAUGAUUCUUAUCAUUAACGAGCUCACAGGAAGUCUCCAACUGUCACUUGAUCAAACUGCCUGAUUGCGACACUUUGCUUCCUUCACAAAGUGAAUAGUUCCACCCAGGGCUGGCCACACGCUCAUUCCUCUGGGACUCGGCCAGAGAAAGAAACACAAAGCACAUUCUCACAGAGGAAAUUUUUACAAACCAAAGGGGACGGAUAUCUCUCUACACAAGUCUACAGUGGAACUGAAGAGAGAGGGAGAGGAGGCGUCUGGCAUUUUUAUAGCAUUUGCUGCUUAUUUUCUUCCCUAUCAGCCCUUGUUGGGUUUACUUGGAAUUGAAGUGAGGAAAGAAGCUAAACUCCCAGUUUGGGAUGGCUGACUGUCAGUGUGUUCUCUGGUGCAUCUUCUGGGUUUUGGUCCUCUUCUUCCUUGGCUGGCCAAUAAGCAUUUUCCUUGGCGGCCUGUAUGGGUUUCUGGCUCCUCUCACCACCUGCAUAGGACUGGACAAGUUCACAGAUCUUUUGCUCCAAGGAGUCAACCUGGGCAGGACCUGUGCUGAAAAUGCCCGUACAGGCAAAUCAUUGUGCUAGGGGAAGGAGAUGGACUCUCAGUAACCUAAUCAUAAGCCUCAUCUCAAGCCAAGAAAACCUUCCAGCCUCUGUCUGUUUUUUUGUUUCUACAGGGCACAGGCCCUACCCAACUGGGAAGCCACUAGGUUAAUCCAACACAAUGAAGGUGCUGUUAUCUCUCAAGCUUCUUCUUUAGAAGGAGCAAAACUCCAACAGGAAGAUUGUUUUUCAGGCAGUUAUUAAUUGGCUUGUUAUAUGUCAUGUGUCAGUUCUGGCACAUUUUAUAUCAUGGCAUGUAUUAUAACUAGUUUGUACUCAUAUAUGGAAUAAAAAAAAUCAGAUGUUUCAUUACCAA